rnacentral:lncRNA from 1 species
CAGAGACCCUUGAGGAGGAAGGGUCCCACAGUUCAAAGACAGCAGAGGCCCAGCAAGAUGAAGACCAGGUGGAAAGGGACGGUAGAUGGCGUGGAGGAGGUGGAGGAAAUGAGGCCAAAUUGUCUUCUGGUCACAGCCAAGACUCUGCUCCAGAACAUAGGAGGGUACCCGCCCGGAGUGCACCCCAGAGACGCGGACUCUGGCUGCAGCCGAUGCUGACCACAGAUCACCUUACAGGAGAAGAAAGUCGCGCUCCUCGGAUCUGUGCAGGAACAGGGAGUAGCAACUGACGGGCGGUAGUUAGACGUGUGCUGUGUGAUUAAAGCAUCUAAAAAGC